rnacentral:rRNA from 1 species
GUAGUCAUAUGCUUGUCUCAAAGAUUAAGCCAUGCAUGUCUAUAGUAUAAGCAAUUAUACAGCGAAACUGCGAAUGGCUCAUUAUAUAAGUUAUCGUUUAUUUGAUAGUACCUUACUACUUGGAUAACCGUGGUAAUUCUAGAGCUAAUACAUGCUAAAAAUCCCGACUUACGAAGGGAUGUAUUUAUUAGAUUAAAAACCAAUGCCCUUCGGGGCUCACUGGUGAUUCAUAAUAACUUCUCGAAUCGCAUGGCCUUGCGCCGGCGAUGGUUCAUUCAAAUUUCUUCCCUAUCAACUUUCGAUGCUAGAGUAGUGUUCUAGCAUGGUUACAACGGGUAACGGAGGGUUAGGGCUCGACCCCGGAGAAGGAGCCUGAGAAACGGCUACUACAUCCAAGGAAGGCAGCAGGCGCGCAAAUUACCCAAUCCCGACACGGGGAGGUAGUGACGAUAAAUACUGAUACAGGGCUCUUUUGGGUCUUGUAAUUGGAAUGAGUACAAUUUAAAUCCCUUAACGAGGAACAAUUGGAGGGCAAGUCUGGUGCCAGCAGCCAAAA